rnacentral:rRNA from 1 species
UACGUAGGGGGCAAGCGUUGUCCGGACUUACUGGGCGUAAAGCGUGUGCAGGCGGGCCGCUAUGUGCCGUGUGAAAGCUCUCAGCUUAUCUGGGAGAGGUCGCGGUAGACAGGCAGCCUGGAGGCUCGGAGAGGUCAGUGGAAUUCUCGGUGUAGUGGUGAAAUGCGUAGAUAUCGAGAGGAACACCAGAGGCGAAGGCGGCUACCUGGACAAUUGCUGACGCUCAGGCACGAAAGCGUGGGGAGCAAAAGGG